UAAAAAUUGAGCAAUUUAGAGUUUAGAUUUACCUAUACAAAAUCUGACAACUGCAUCGUCUCCAGAACAUCUGAAAAUGCUAAGAUUGACUAUAAUAUAGAUCAUAUUUCAAGACAGACCAUCAAAUAGUCAGAUUUGACCGAAAAUGCGGCCCUGAUGCUAAUUAACUACCAUCAAUCCGAUCGUACCAAGCGAUCUGGACCGUCCGAU
rnacentral:misc_RNA from 1 species